ACCAGGUGCUGAGAAAGCCCUGCCUGCUGUAUGGUGCUUGGCACAGUCCUUGGUAGAGCGCUGGCAUUCAGAGCCAAGAAUGAUUGGAAGCCUGGAUGGAAACAGUUAGGCAGGGAAGUGGGCAGCAGUGUGGCGAUCUGAGGUGAGAGGGCAGCAUCUUGUGCCAGCAAGCCUCGUUCCAGCUUAGAUGACAGACCUCGGUCUCCCUCCCUAUAAGGUGCUGACAGCUGAGCCAUUCCACACACCUUUGGGGCAAAGAAGCGCCGGAAGCCAGAGCAGGGCCAAGUUCAAAGACUGGACAUUCUUUCCGAGGCUACCAGAAGCAGCCCCGAGGGCCGGCUCCGGCAUUACAUAAGCAUCAGGUUAGCAGGUCUGUCACUGAGGCACUCAGCCUUGGCCUCUCGGACUUGCGCAACUAAGUGCGCAGAAGCACUUGUUCCGUGUGGCAACAGGGCUACAUGGUUAUCAAAUACGUGGUGCAUCCGCCCAGACUCACUUAGACGACACCAAAGCUCUUCACCACCAGGUGGUUAAAGCUGCCUGAUAGGGUUGGCAGCAGGCAAAGCCAUGACUUACUGUAGCUCUUGGCCCAAGCCACCGAACACUCAGUACCUUGUACCCCGUUAGCCUUGGGCAGUAAAGCCUCUGAUAAAAUGUU